UUCUAGCCCCGAUGGAAACGGCAUCCUUUUUUUUUGCAUUGGCUUGAAAAAAGCGUAGGCAAAAAAAGAUACAGUAGACAGCGGGAUUAAGC
rnacentral:sRNA from 1 species